rnacentral:rRNA from 1 species
AGUGAACGCUGGCGGUAGGCCUAACACAUGCAAGUCGAACGGCAGCACAGUAAGAGCUUGCUCUUACGGGUGGCGAGUGGCGGACGGGUGAGGAAUACAUCGGAAUCUACUUUUUCGUGGGGGAUAACGUAGGGAAACUUACGCUAAUACCGCAUACGACCUACGGGUGAAAGCAGGGGAUCUUCGGACCUUGCGCGAUUGAAUGAGCCGAUGUCGGAUUAGCUAGUUGGCGGGGUAAAGGCCCACCAAGGCGACGAUCCGUAGCUGGUCUGAGAGGAUGAUCAGCCACACUGGAACUGAGACACGGUCCAUACUCCUACGGGAGGCAGCAGUGGGGAAUAUUGGACAAUGGGCGCAAGCCUGAACCAGCCAGACCGCGUGGGUGAAGAAGGCCUUCGGGUUGUAAAGACCUUUUUUUGGGAAAGAAAAGCAGCAGGUUAAUACCCCGCUGUUCUGACGGUACCCAAAAAAGAAGCACCGGCGAACGUCGGGC